AUUGAACGCUGGCGGCAUGCCUUACACAUGCAAGUCGAACGGCAGCACGGAGCUUGCUCUGGUGGCGAGUGGCGAACGGGUGAGUAAUGUAUCGGAACGUACCCAAGAGUGGGGAAUAACGUAGCGAAAGUUACGCUAAUACCGCAUACGAUCUAAGAAUGAAGGUGGGGGCUCGCAAGACCUCAUGCUCCUGGAGCGGCCGAUAUCUGAUUAGCUAGUUGGUGAGGUAAAGGCUCACCAAGGCAUCGAUCAGUAGCUGGUCUGAGAGGACGACCAGCCACACUGGAACUGAGACACGGUCCAGACUCCUACGGGAGGCAGCAGUGGGGAAUUUUGGACAAUGGGGGCAACCCUGAUCCAGCAAUGCCGCGUGAGUGAAGAAGGCCUUCGGGUUGUAAAGCUCUUUUGUCAGGGAAGAAACGGUGAAGGCUAAUAUCCUUUGCUAAUGACGGUACCUGAAGAAUAAGCACCGGCUAACUACGUGCCAGCAGCCGCCGUAAAAC
rnacentral:rRNA from 1 species